rnacentral:lncRNA from 1 species
GAGAACGCUAAAGACUCUGGAGCCAGAGAACGCUAAAGACUCUGGAGCCAGAGAACGCUAAAGACUCUGGAGCCAGAGAACGCUAAAGACUCUGGAGCCAGAGAACGCUAAAGACUCUGGAGCCAGAGAACGCUAAAGACUCUGGAGCCAGAGAACGCUAAAGACUCUGGAGCCAGAGAACGCUAAAGACUCUGGAGCCAGGGGAAGGUUCUAGAAGCUGGGGUGGUCAACCCUCCUCCUGGAGAUUUUUUUUUUCUCCAACCCUGCUCUAUUCUAACACACCCAAUUUAACCAAUCAAGGUGUUGAGGAGGAGCAGCUGUUUAGCAGGACCAGGUGUUUUAGAGCAGGGCUGGAGCAGAAUCCUGCUCAGGAUGGGUAGCUCUCCAGGAGCACAGUUGGAGACUCCUGUUCUGGGAUGUUUUUUUGCAUCAUGCUUAUCAAACUAUUCCUUUGGAAAUGCUGAACUCAGAUCAGUAUAACACUAAUAAUAAAAUGGUAACUGACCACUGUGUGGUGUGUGGUGCAUGUUGUUCUUCAGCGAUUCUCUCUCUUUCUCUCUCUUUCUCUCUCUCUCUUUCUCUGGUUCUUCACACUCUCUAUUCAAUUUCAAUUGAAGGGCUUUAUUGGCAUGGGAAACAUAAGUUAACAUUGCCAAAGCAAGUGAAGUAGAUAAUAAAAAAUGUAAAUGAACAGUAAACAUUAUACACACAACAUUAUACACAAGUUCCAAAAGAAUAAAGACAUUUCAAAUGUCAUAUUUGACCCUUGCUCUGUCUUCCUCUCUCCCUCUUCAUCUCCCUCUCUCUCCACUUACACACUCCAGUUAGCAUCAGCAGGAGCUCCUGUUAGCAGCUUAACAUGGUUUAGGACAGGGUUUCCCAAACUGGAGAUUUCAUUUUCCCUCCCCCAAGUUUUAUUUUUUUAUUGUUGGACAUUAAAAGACUGUAAAAACACCAGCAAAACAGCUCCAAUGCUAUUUAAAUUAAUAAUUUGUAAAAUGUUUUUGGGCUUCUUGUGGUCAAUUUGCAGUCUACAAAUGUGCAAUUAUGUUCCGGCCCCCUGACCAUCCGCGACUGAAUCUAGUUGAUGAUCCCUGGCUUUGGAGAUGUAGAUUUACACAGGGGAUCAAAUACUUGUUUUCCCUCACUGUAUACCCACAUUCACACUCCCACACCAACUCCUAAUACCAGCCUAGCCAUUAACACACCCGCACCAGCCUAGCCAUUCACACUCCCACACCAGCCUA